UGCAUCUGAAGUCUGACGAGGAUGAGAACCUCCGGGGGCAAGAGGUUCGACUCGAGCGAAGCGAGAGAACGUUGCGUCAGCAACGGCCCGCAGGGCGAGCCAUCCUCUAUCACCGGCA
rnacentral:sRNA from 25 species